rnacentral:rRNA from 1 species
UACGUAGGGGGCUAGCGUUGUCCGGAAUCAUUGGGCGUAAAGAGCGUGUAGGCGGUCCGGUAAGUCCGCUGUGAAAGCCGGGGGCUCAACCCUCGAAUGCCGGUGGAUACUGUCGGGCUAGAGUGCGGAAGAGGCGAGUGGAAUUCCUGGUGUAGCGGUGAAAUGCGCAGAUAUCAGGAGGAACACCGAUGGCGAAGGCAGGUCUCUGGGCCAACACUGACGCUCAUGCACGAAAGCGUGGGGAGCAAACAGG